GUAGUCCCGGCUGUAAACGAUGUCGACUUGGAGGUUGUGCCCUUGAGGCGUGGCUUCCGGAGCUAACGCGUUAAGUCGACCGCCUGGGGAGUACGGCCGCAAGGUUAAAACUCAAAUGAAUUGACGGGGGCCCGCACAAGCGGUGGAGCAUGUGGUUUAAUUCGAUGCAACGCGAAGAACCUUACCUGGUCUUGACAUCCACGGAAGUUUUCAGAGAUGAGAAUGUGCCUUCGGGAACCGUGAGACAGGUGCUGCAUGGCUGUCGUCAGCUCGUGUUGUGAAAUGUUGGGUUAAGUCCCGCAACGAGCGCAACCCUUAUCCUUUGUUGCCAGCGGUCCGGCCGGGAACUCAAAGGAGACUGCCAGUGAUAAACUGGAGGAAGGUGGGGAUGACGUCAAGUCAUCAUGGCCCUUACGACCAGGGCUACACACGUGCUACAAUGGCGCAUACAAAGAGAAGCGACCUCGCGAGAGCAAGCGGACCUCAUAAAGUGCGUCGUAGUCCGGAUUGGAGUCUGCAACUCGACUCCAUGAAGUCGGAAUCGCUAGUAAUCGUGGAUCAGAAUGCCACGGUGAAUACGUUCCCGGGCCUUGUACACACCGCCCGUCACACCAUGGGAGUGGGUUGCAAAAGAAGUAGGUAGCUUAACCUUCGGGAGGGCGCUUACCACUUUGUGAUUCAUGACUGGGGUGAAGUCGUAACAAGGUAACCGUAGGGGAACCUGCGGCUGGAUCACCUCC
rnacentral:rRNA from 1 species